rfam:Marchantia polymorpha subsp. polymorpha scaffold4188, whole genome shotgun sequence.
AUACCUUUCUCGGCCUUUUGGCUAAGAUCAAGUGUAGUAUCUGUUCUUAUCAGUUUAAUAUCUGAUACGAGGGUCAUCGACCCUCACGAUAUUAAUCUUAUUUCUUUCACGGGUGCGAGCCCAACGGAGUAGCUUGCUGCUUCGGGUUCGCCAGUGUCGCCUUGGUAUUGCACUACCUCCUUGGCCGGCGCAGCCCAU